rnacentral:rRNA from 1 species
AUUGAACGCUGGCGGCAGGCCUAACACAUGCAAGUCGAACGAGUGGCGGGCGGGUGAGUAAUGUGUGGGACUCCGCGUGAUGGAGGGGGAACACCACUAGAAACGAGCGAUAACAGCGCAAACUCUCAGAUGCCCAUAAAUGGGUUUCGCUUGUUGGUGGGGAAACGGCUCACCAAGGCGACGAGCCCUAUCUGGUCUGAGAGGAUGACCAGCCACACUGGAACUGAGACACGGUCCAGACUCCUACGGGAGGCAGCAGUGGGGAAUAUUGCACAAUGGGCGCAAGCCUGAUGCAGCCAUGCCGCGUGUAUGAAGAAGGCCUUCGGGUUGUAAAGUACUUUCAGUGGGGAGGCGUUACCCGCAGAAGAAGCACCGGCUAACUCCGUGCCAGCAGCCGCGGUAAUAC